rnacentral:sRNA from 1 species
AGUGAACUUCGUUUGCAAUGGAAAUCCUUUUUAUUGUCAAAUUCUGAAAGGUUUGACUAUAAAAAGAUUGUAAUAAAUAGCGGGAUUAAGC